rnacentral:rRNA from 1 species
UACGGGGGGGCAAGCGUUGUUCGGAAUUACUGGGCGUAAAGGCUCGUAGGCGGCCAACUAAGUCAGACGUGAAAUCCCUCGGCUUAACCGGGGAACUGCGUCUGAUACUGGAUGGCUUGAGUUUGGGAGAGGGAUGCGGAAUUCCAGGUGUAGCGGUGAAAUGCGUAGAUAUCUGGAGGAACACCGGUGGCGAAGGCGGCAUCCUGGACCAACACUGACGCUGAGUGAGCGAAAGCCAGGGGAGCAAACGGG